AGGAACCCACCCACUUGUCUCUGGAGAUUGGGUGGUAGAAAAAGACACGUUAGGAAAGCCCUAAAACCCUGGUUUAAUGGUCCAUUCUGAGUGUUGUUGACCACAUGCACAGUGAAGCUCAAAAAAAAGGAUAAUUGGAUUGAUUUCAAGGAAGUGUUGAGACAGGUUU